rnacentral:rRNA from 1 species
GACGAACGCUGGCGGCGUGCUUAACACAUGCAAGUCGAACGGUGAAGCGCCUUCCUUUUGGUGGGUGUGGGUGGGGGGCGAAAGGGGGAGGAACACGUGAGUAACCUGCCCCCUUCUUCUGGAUAAACGCCUGAAAGUGUUGCUAAUACGGGGUAUUCUGGGUCUGUCGCAUGAUGGGUCUGGGGAAGAUAUUGUUUCGGGGGGGGAUGGGCUCGCGGCCUAUCAGCUUGUUGGUGGGGUGAUGGCCUACCAAGGCGGUGACGGGUAGCCGGCCUGAGAGGGUGGACGGUCACACUGGGACUGAGACACGGCCCAGACUCCUACGGGAGGCAGCAGUGGGGAAUAUUGCACAAUGGGCGCAAGCCUGAUGCAGCGACGCCGCGUGAGGGAUGGAGGCCUUCGGGUUGUGAACCUCUUUCGCCAGUGAAGCAGGCCUGCCUCGUUUGUGGGUGGGUUGACGGUAGCUGGAUAAGAAGCGCCGGCUAACUACGUG